GAGUAUAUCAACGAUAAUGUUGUGAACAUUCUCUGCAAGGCCUGCAAUCAAGAAAUGCUGGUUCAGGAAGAAGAGAGCAAAGUUUGUAAAAUGGCUGACAAAGCAGAUGCUUCUGACAUAUUUUUUUGUGGAACAUGUCAUACUCAUUUCACAGAUAUCGAAGCCUUUAUUCAACACAAAUUG